rnacentral:rRNA from 1 species
ACUCCUACGGGAGGCAGCAGUAGGGAAUCUUCCACAAUGGGCGCAAGCCUGAUGGAGCAACACCGCGUGAGUGAAGAAGGGUUUCGGCUCGUAAAAGCUCUGUUGUUAAAGAAGAACACGUAUGAGAGUAACUGUUCAUACGUUGACGGUAUUUAACCAGAAAGUCACGGCUAACUACGUGCCAGCAGCCGCGGUAAUACGUAGGUGGCAAGCGUUAUCCGGAUUUAUUGGGCGUAAAGAGAGUGCAGGCGGUUUUCUAAGUCUGAUGUGAAAGCCUUCGGCUUAACCGGAGAAGUGCAUCGGAAACUGGAUAACUUGAGUGCAGAAGAGGGUAGUGGAACUCCAUGUGUAGCGGUGGAAUGCGUAGAUAUAUGGAAGAACACCAGUGGCGAAGGCGGCUACCUGGUCUGCAACUGACGCUGAGACUCGAAAGCAUGGGUAGCGAACAGGAUUAGAUACCCUGGUAGGAUAGCG